AUCCAACUGACGAGUGCCGGAUAGGACGAAACACGCGUCCUGGAU
rfam:Schistosoma mansoni strain Puerto Rico chromosome 1, complete genome